UUUUAUAAUGGAAAUGCCUGGCCAUUAAAUAUUUAGAAUAUCUCAUGAUAUAUUUGUUUAUUUACAGAUCGUCAUGAGGGCGAGCAUCACAAAAACCGCAGAUCCAAAGUUGUAGAAACAGAGAGUAAAGGUACAACUGUUACUGAUCCAGACCUUAUCCCGUUACGUACUCAAUCGUUGUUUGCAAUUACUCCAUUAACGGUGGAUUCUCCAGUGGUCAAAAAUAUUAAAGCUUUUACUCAAGUAGAGAAGAAAGUGAGUUUCAUAGGAGACGACGAGACCUUAGAUAGUAAUCCUGCAAGCAACGUAAAACUACGUCCAGAAAAUGGGAUAACAUUUAUACAGGUAGGUUAA